rnacentral:rRNA from 1 species
UGUAGCCGGAGCGAAAGCGAGUCUGAAUAGGGCGCAUAGUUAGUAGGAUUAGACGCGAAACCUUGUGAUCUACCCAUGGGCAGGUUGAAGCUUUGGUAACACAAAGUGGAGGACCGAACCGGUUGACGUUGAAAAGUCUUCGGAUGACCUGUGGGUAGGGGUGAAAGGCCAAUCAAACUGAGAAAUAGCUCGUACUCUCCGAAAUGCAUUUAGGUGCAGCCUUGAGGUCGAGUGUCAUAGAGGUAGAGCUACUGAUUGGGCUAGGGGGCUUCAUCGCCUACCAAACCCUGACAAACUCCGAAUGCUAUGACAUAUACUCAAGAGUGAGGGCAUGGGUGCUAAGGUCCAUGUCCGAGAGGGAAACAACCCAGACUAUCAGCUAAGGUCCCUAAAUAUAUGUUAAGUUGAAUUAACGUGGUCUAAUUGCUUUGACAGCUAGGAUGUUGGCUUGGAAGCAGCCAUUCAUUUAAAGAGUGCGUAACAGCUCACUAGUCGAGCGAUUGGGCGUGGAUAAUAAUCGGGCAUUAAACAUAUUACCGAAGCUAUAGACUCGAAAGAGUGGUAGGAGAGCAUUCUAAACUGCGUCGAAGGAGUAUCGUAAGGUAUUCUGGAGUGUUUAGAAAAGAAAAUGUAGGCAUAAGUAACGAUAAAGCAGGCGAGAAACCUGCUCACCGAUAGACUAAGGUUUCCUGAUCAACGCUAAUCGGAUCAGGGUUAGUCGGGUCCUAAGGCGAACCCGAAAGGGGUAGUCGAUGGACAACAGGUUAAUAUUCCUGUACUAGUAUAUAUUGCGAUGGGGAGACGGAGAAGUGAAAGGUCUGCGUACGGACGGAAGUGUACGUUGAAGGACGUAGGUAUAAGAAUAGUUGGAAAAUCCGCUAAUCUUGCUGAAAUCCAAUAGUACCAUGAGCCUUCGGGCAAGUGGAUAUGACCCUAACCAGGCUCCCAAGAAAAUCCUCUAAGCUUCAGAUAUAUACUACCCGUACCGCAAACCGACACAGGUAGUCAAGGAGAGAAUCCUAAGGUGCUCGAGUGAUUCAUGGCUAAGGAACUAGGCAAAAUCGCCUCGUAACUUCGGGAGAAGAGGCGCCCCGAGCAAUCGGGGCCGCAGUGAAAAGGCCCAGGCGACUGUUUAUCAAAAACACAUGGCUUUGCAAAAUCGAAAGAUGAAGUAUAAGGCCUGACACCUGCCCGGUGCCGGAAGGUUAAAAGGGGAUGUUAUCCUUCGGGAGAAGCAUUGAAUUGAAGCCCCGGUAAACGGCGGCCGUAACAAUAACGGUC